rnacentral:lncRNA from 1 species
GUCAUUCUCAAUGGGCUAAAUGUUUGACACAUGAGAAUGUUGAAAGUGAAAGGGCACGAGAGGAUGACAGAAUCUUGCUCUCUUGAACAGUCAUUCUCAGCGUGGCCCUCUUUGUCUUAGCUAGUAGGUUACAUUUUAUAAGAUUCAGGCCAAGAUGGUAAUAACCAGAUUGAAUAUUACUGGUCAACACUAUGUUUCAGCCUGUUGGCGAAUCAGGAUUGUGACCUCUCCUUAUUGCAUAAGAGGUGAGAUACCAUGCUCUAACAGGGCAAAUUUCAGUUUUCCUGACUCCACCACUUUCCCUGAUUUCUCCAAAGGUGAAUCAUCUCCUAAGUAGCUGCUGCUUCAGUGCUUCCCAACUUUAAGCCCUGGGGGCUAGCUCAGUUUAUCUCUUUCACUCUCCCUAAUAAUGCACCUGACAUCUAAUUAUGUCUAAAACAUGGGUUUCC